rnacentral:rRNA from 1 species
AAUGAACGCUGGCGGCGCGCCUAAUACAUGCAAGUCGAGCGAGAAGACGUAGCAAUACGUUUGUAAAGCGGCGAACGGGUGAGGAAUACAUGGGUAACCUACCCUAGAGUGGGGAAUAACUAGCCGAAAGGUUAGCUAAUACCGCGUACGCUCCUUGGACUUCGGUUCAGGGAGGAAAGCGAUGCCGAGGGUAUCGCGCUCUUGGAUGGGCUCAUGUCCUAUCAGCUUGNGGUGAGGUAACGGCUCACCAAGGCUUCGACGGGUAGCUGGUCUGAGAGGACGAUCAGCCACACUGGCACUGCGACACGGGCCAGACUCCUACGGGAGGCAGCAGUAAGGAAUAUUGCGCAAUGGGCGAAAGCCUGACGCAGCGACGCCGCGUGGGGGAUG